UAACACGUCACUAAGCUCGCGACCCUGGAUUGUACAGCGCGGCUUCCGUGGACCGUUCCUCCGCGUGAUGAGGGGACAUGGCGGCUCCCUUUCCAGUGACCUCAAAAGUCGGCAGGCAGCAGCAAGGUGGCCUGGAUGGGACUGUGGGAAAUAGACUUCCAGGCUGUGGACACUCAGCGGCUCAGAUACGUCUUCCCCUAGAAUGGCAACAUGGAUCGGAAGGGCCAGCAGGCUACCUUAGAAGUUACUCAAGGAUCUCCUCGGAAAGCACACCUCUUUAAUCCAACUGUGAAGCAACAGGGACGCCCAGGACGCCAGGCUUUUCCUUCCUCUCAGCAACGUUCUGCUCUGAUCAACUCGACACCUUACGUGGAGGCGGCUGUGGCUCAACACCUGCACCUGUGAGGACUUUGUAGCGCGUGAACCCUUGCAGGCAGAGGGUGCCUGUAGCCUGGCAGUGCCAGAAAGGUCUUCACUUCUUUCCUUUUCUGUAUAAAUCACUUCUUUUCUGUGUGGUGUUGAAUUUAUCGAAUUCCGGUGAAGACAUUUGGUCAUUCGAAGGGGCGCUUGUAGCAGGGGGUGGGCGUUAAACAGAAACACGCACUGUUCUGAAGUGUUCUCAAAGAGGCUCGUAACCCUCAGGCUCAGCAGCUAACUCUGGUUCCUCUACUUCCUCUGCUUGCCUAUUGGUACCAGUUUCAGCCAGAACCUGGCAUCAUAGAAGCUGAAGUUCAGCCACCCGAGUUCAAAGUGCACGUCUGUUUAUUGAGGAGAAGUGAGAGUGCCUAGCCUCUUCCCAGCACAUGGGCAUCUCCUGCUCUUUUGGUUUAUCCCUGUAAUGGGUUAAAUUACUUUAAAUCCUUGGAAGAUGGGGGUCAUGGUUCAUUUCUCACUCAGUGAAAAACUGAAACAUAUGCUCUUCAGGAGAGGCUUUAUCCUGACCAGUGUUCCUUCACCAGGAGACAUGACGGUGACCACACCUGGCUCAUUUGCUAGUCAAAGCAGUUGUGAAACUUACCAGUAACCAUGGCGCCUCCACUUCCUUCCACACAGAUUUGUGCCCGCUGCCGUCUGCAGUCUUCCUGAGUCUUCUCAUUGGAGGGCCUAAAUGCAUUUUUUUUCAUUUUCAUUUGCAUUUGCAUUUUGUAGCACCUCUAUUGUGGUGCGGUUCCUGUACAGUAAAGUGCACGUAUUUCAAAUGUACAAUGCGAUGGAUCUUGCAAGAUGUAUCCACCAGAAAUGAAGUGUUUGGUGGGCGAUUCUGCUGAGUACUAGCGCUGUAGGAAGCGGUCACAAGGCAGGGCAUCCCUAACAGGCUUUUUCUGAUUGGUGGCAACCUCAGGAAUUGGGACCCUUGAGGAGGGAGGAGGUGAUACUACUGAGACUCGAGCUGGAUGGAAGCUGGCUGCUUAGUUCUUUGCCCGGGAGCGCAUUCCUAGGCCUGCCUUGUCCUGAGGCGUGUGCUCCAUCAGCGUUUCCGCGCGUGUGGGAAUGGUAAUGUACUGUUGAGCUUUUAAGUGCGGUCUCCCCCGUCAGGCUCAUGUUUGUCUUAACUAUUCCUUCAUGCCCCUUGUUUCUGUGGGUGACAGGAACAGAAUGGGUAAUAGUGGACACUCGAAGGCAAGGCCUUUUGAAAUGAGGUGUCUUCCCUGUUGUACUGAUUCCCUGUUACAUGCAGACAGUAGUUGACUUGCGACAGCAGCAGGCAUUUUGAGAGGCUCGUUAGCCCACUGGAAAUGGUGGUGGUGGUGGUGGUAGCCAUGAUGGUGGCUGUGGCGGUGAGGGUGCUGAUUAAGAAAAAAAGCCACAGCUGUCACUGGUAGAAAGCUGAAUAGAAUGGAGAACUGUCCUUAGUUCUUUUCAUUGGUUUAUUACCGAAUCGUCUCAAACCCUGUGGUUUAAAGACUGGUAGGGUCUCUGUUUCCCAGAGAACAGUCAUGGUGUGCAGAAUGGAUUUUGCCAUGGUAACAGAGCCAGCAAAACUGUAUAGGGGGCAUCAUAGCCAGGUUUAACGGGUCCUGUAUCUUGUGGUAUUAAUCACUAAGCUGCGAGAAGCCUUCUUAAGUAACAUUUUCUUGCGUGAGAAACCAGCGGUUACCCACACCUCCGUGUGCUCCCCCUUUCUGCUGAGCGUGGUUAUCCCGAGGUCACACAGUGUGUUUUUGCAGUAGGAGCCAUAAGUGGUCGUGAUAAUGUCAUAAAAGUUGGGAGAAUACAUUUUGAACCAAAUGGCUUUCAUGGCUGAGUUGCCGGCCACCAUGAUUGUCGGUUCUUUUUGAGAGAAAAUGACAGAGGGUAGAGGGCCAGACAAGGGCCGGAGCGUCCUGAUCAGGAAAGAUGGAAUACCUAGAGGAUAGGUCCUUCCUUCAGAGGCCUGCAGCCUGCAGGUGGGGAGAGGACCGGGGACAGCAGCACUGCAAAGAGCUGCUCGUAGAGAUCGAGGGCAAGGGGCUGGGGUGUGAAAGUUAUGAGAAGCAUCGGCGUUCAAAUAAGCGUCUUGUGCCCCUUCCGCAUCCCUGGUACUGCCUGGGACCGGCACAGCACGGGGACCAGGGUGUCAGUGCACGUGGCUGAGUGCGCCACGAGAAGGCACGGCCUUGUGGCAAAGAGGAGACUUUCGUGCUGGGGGGCUGCUCCUGAUUUUCUAGCAUCCCUGAGGCUUUUGGACUUUGCUGCUAGGGAAGUUCUUGUGCUUGUGCCUCAUGCUGUGCCCUGCCUUAGGCUGGGGAAAGUGGCUCAGGAAAGGUGGGCCUUCGCCCUCCUACGCUGGGGCCUAGCACGGUCCUCCGAGGGAGUCUCCUGAGAGGCACCUGCUGACGCUGAUGUUGAACGUGGUGAAUGAUCCCACGUGGGCGAGCUGACCGCCCAGCGUCUCAUGUUGUACUGAGCUGUGCUCCUCAGAGAGGCUAAUGAGAGUGAGCUGCUGUUGCUGGUGUGUUCUGAUACUCUGGCCAGACAGCUCUCCUGUCGACACUCCCGUGGCUCGGAUGCCUUGUUGAAGUCCUGCCCAGGGCACACACCGGCCACGGCUGCGUGGGAGGCGUGAUACGUGUUGGGUCCGGGGGAAGAAGUUGGCCGUGGCCGGUUGUCGGGCCUCGGUGCUGAUCCGAAGGAGCUGAACAGAACCAGUCCCAGGCUGCAGGGCAGUGGCGAGUUGGGGGUCCUUAAGAUUUCCACUUGCAUGUGUGUGGAUGCGGUUGGAGCGUGUCCGUGUUCGCUGUCUGCCCGCUUCCGCUGAGACACUCUGCACGUGGGUUGGAAGACAGGCCCCGGGGGAGGGUCCCGUCAGUGGACAGUGCAUGAAGCCGGGGCGUUGGGAUCCUCGGGGACAGGUGCGGAUGAGCCUGGACGGCCAGGGACCUCCCGGGUCAGGUGUCCGGGCUGGAGGAGGAAGCCCUCCUAUGCUUCUUGCUGAAGAGGGCACCCCCCCCCCAGGCCGUGGCUGUCCCGUCCCCGGUUUAUGUGCUGGGAAGCAUUGCUGCUUGGUGGUCUGGCCCCUCUGCCAUUUUGGUCUCCCUGUUGGGGUAGCUGACCCUCCCUCAAGGGGACCUUGUCUGCACUGUCAAGGAAGAGGCAGUGCUCAGCAGCAAUGAGAAUUCGUGCAUUGUGCGUGACACUGCGCUACCGGAGGGGUGGCAGGGGAUGGGGGUUGCACUUUGAGGAGGGAGGGGUGCUGUGAUUUCCCCGUUUCGGGCUCUUCAUUUCUCUCGAUUUGUGAAAUCUGGGUCAGCACGUAAGUGGUCCAGCAGGGAUCUGUGGAGGGUCAGCGAGUAUGAGAGCGACCGUGGGGAGGACAAGGGGCUUUGGUGUGAAAGUUGUGGUGGGGGUUGGUGGUGGCAGGAAUGUUCUCCUGUCCCCUUUCUCUGUUCUCCCACACUAACUGUGUGUGCGCAUUGCUGGGGGACAGAAGAUACUAGUUGACACUGAUCUGAUAUGAAAAAAUAUGGCUGUCUUGUAAAGUUGAGACCCUUGUUUUGGGGGCAUGGUGAUUUUCCAUUUUUCAGGGAAUCGUGGUUUUGUCUGCAGGUGAAGGGUUUGCUGUCUCACCCUUGUUUUGUCUCCUGAGACCUGUGGACAGUGGCCGCUGUGGGAACGGGUGUAUUCAGCCUGUUAUACUAUUUGGAGGGGGUCUGAGAAGGAAUUGUUGUUAUUUUUGCUGAUUUUUUUUCUCCAGAGUCAUUUUCUUCCUUCUUCACAUAGGUUUAAGGGCUCUUGGGCACUACUUAUGACGUUCCUGUUCUCCUGUUCUUCAGGGGAGUCUGGUUGCAUUUCUGGUUUUAACUGCUUUAGUUGUUCUGACUUUACCUAGUUCUCAGUUAUUGCAAAGAUUUUUGCUGCCAGGUCCUUGAAGGAACAUUCAUGGGUGUAAAAUUAGCAAGAGGCUCAUGUAGCUUUUAAACAGAUUUGCAUAGAUUGCAAAGGGACAGAGAAACAAUUGACAAAUUUUCCAAAGGAAAUGUUUUAAGAAAAGGGUGAGAGGUCUUUCCCCUGUUUUUCAACAGGGAUAAUUUAAUUUUUCUUAUUUUAUUUGCCCUUAGAACAUACUACCAUGAGAUAUCAGGUCACCUUGGACUGGUGUAGACUCUACCCUAGAAGACAGGGUGUGCAGUCAGUGUGCUGAUCUCCAGGAUAUAGGAUAUAGUUAAAGCCAGGAACCAAGCACCUGUGCUUCUCCUCCAGGGCUCAGAGUUGAUGUGUUGUAUACUGAAAAAUUUGCUAAGAGGGUAAUUCUUAGUCUAUCUUCUGUCAUGUUCUUCUUACAAAAAAUACCACUACUAUUAAUUAAUGAGGGUGGAAUGAAACUUCAGAGAGAAUGGGUGUGUUUAAGGCAUAGAUUAUGAUGACGGUUCAUGGAUUUAUACUUAGCUCCAAACUCAUUAAGUUGUAUGUAUUAAAUAUGUACAGCUUUUUGUAUGCCAAUCAUACCUUCAUGCUUCAGUAAAGUGGUUAAAAAUAAUAAUAAAAAAGACCUCCUCAUGAUUACAGAUGAAUGCUCCCCCUCAAAUGUUUUUAAAUUUUAGAACUGAAGGGGAAGAAUACUUCUACAUGGGGAAAUGGUAAUGCCAUUUACUGCUUCUGUAUUAUUGUUUUGCCUUGAUUUUUCUAUGUAGUGUAGCAUUUGCAUUGGCAGGGUAUAAGGUUAACCUUUAGUCCAUAGGACUUUGAAUUUCAUAGAAUCGCAGCAAUUCUUCGGAAGCCGUGAACUUCACCUGGAGGACGUACACUCAAGGAGUGGCCCUGUGAUGUCAGCUGUUUGUCAUUUGACCAGAAAUUGACUUUGGGGUACUGUACCUUUGGGAAUGGCUUGGACUUUGGGUGGUUUUCAUUUUUUAUAAUAUGUGCUUUUGUGCUUCCUCAAGAAAUCUUUAAAAAUAUUUUACAUAGGGGACAUGUCAAAGUGUGUAUGUACUGUAUUUGGAUUCUAUAGGGUAGAAGGCAGUGUCUCGGGCUGAUUGGUCUCUCCGGCAGGCCCCUGUUCUCUGACACCUUCUGUAUUCUGUGUGACUUAGUUUCCUUGCCAUAGCUACUUGGUUUGUACCUCUUCAUCUUAUGGUACUUGAGUCAAUUUUACUUUUGUUAUAUUUAGAGUUUGUGAUUAGACCAAAAAUGAGUGAUAGCCUGCAAAGGCUCAUUAAUAACCUUUCACUGCAGAGAAUAUAAUUUAAGAGACAUACUGUUGAGUUUCCCUGAGCUGUCCUCAUUUCUGCGUCUUUAAAAUGUAUCUGUUGCUUAAGUUUCUUGCAUUUCGUAAAAUACUUGUGUUCUUCCAAUAAAAUUUAUUUGUUUCAGAA